UGAAAAUGUGACACUCCAUUCAGGGC
rnacentral:piRNA from 1 species